GUGGGGAAUAUUCCGCAAUGGACGAAAGUCUGACGGAGCAACGCCGCGUGAGUGAUGAAGGUUUUCGGACUGUAAAGCUCUGUUGUUUAGGACGAAAGUGCCUGUUGCAAAUAGUUACAGGUAUUGACGGUACUGAACGAGGAAGCCACGGCUAACUACGUGCCAGCAGCCGCGGUAAUACGUAGGUGGCAAGCGUUGUCCGGAAUUAUUGGGCGUAAAGAGCAUGUAGGCGGGAAUCUAAGUCUGUUGUGAAAAUGCGGGGCUCAACCCCGUAUUGCGCUGGAAACUGGGUUUCUUGAGUGCAGGAGAGGAAAGGGGAAUUCCCAGUGUAGCGGUGAAAUGCGUAGAUAUUGGGAGGAACACCAGUGGCGAAGGCGCCUUUCUGGACUGUGUCUGACGCUGAGAUGCGAAAGCCAGGGUAGCGAACGGGAUUAGAAACCCCAGUAGUCC
rnacentral:rRNA from 1 species